UCUCUAUUUCACAUAUUUAACCAUUCUUCUGUUGACUGAAAGUCUUUUUAGCUGAAUAUUUGGGAGGGGGUAGGAAAGAGGAAUAUAUUAUAUCAUUUUUAAAGUUAGACUGGGAAUGUUGUUUUGACUUUCAAAACAGCCAGUUUCCUUUUUUGGUGUGGAAUGUCCUCAUUUAUCACAUUCCUGGGAAAACCCUUUUACUUCCCAAGAGCAGACAGAGAAGAGUAAUGUUUCAUUACACAGAUGAACAUGUCUUGUGUAAAAUGCAGAACAGCGUCUGCUGUAAUACAGUAAGCUUAUGAGGGAUUAGGCUGCUGCAGCAAAAUCAUGGUUUACUGUAUAAAAACUCUCAGAUUUUUCAAGUGCAGACAAGCUAUUGAUGGAAACUUGUUGGCAUUUAUUUAUUGUUUCUUUUCAGUGUGUUUGGAAUAAAUUGCAAUUUGGAACAUCUUUAUUUUGCAAAAGGGUAUAUGUCUUAAGUGGUAAAAAGACUUCUCGAAUUGUGUCUUGGUUUGGUGGAGCAAAGCAAAACAAGGUCUAGCAAUGAGGGGAGUUACUUCUUUUUGAGUCAGGUAGUUGGUGUGAAAGAAAUAUUUAUUUCAAUAAUAAAUCAUAUAUAUAUUUGCCAGUGUAUAUUCUUACAUUGUAGUCAUUGUUUUAAAAAGGCAAUCUCUGAUAAAUGUUUUUUCUUCUUUGAUUUUUUCUUCUUAACAUCUUUGAUAAUGGAUUGAAAAUUUUGCAAAAUACAUGCACAGAGCUUCAUUCAGGUUGUCCCUCCAAACAAUUUGCUGUAGUGCAUUAACCAGAAAUGCUGAUGCAGCAAGGGAAACACUAAUAAAUGGGAUGCUUUCCAGGGACUGUUGCCAAGGUCUUUUACUACCAUUCCUACAGUGGUUGGCAAGAUGUCGUUUCUACCCUCACUCUCCAUGUACCAUGCCAGUGACAUCUUAGCUGCUAGAGUGUGGAGCUGGCCUGUGGGAGUCAAGUCACCUUGUAAAUUUUGCUACAUAAAUUAACACAUCCCUUGUUAUGUCAUAACAACCAUGUAAGGGAGAGUGUUUUCCUGCUCUGUCUUAGGUAUUGGUGAUGUGACCUGUUCACGCAGGGGAAACUUGAACAUUCUCAGGUAUGUGAAGAUCAUGAUUCGUAAGCAUUUGCUUCCUGCAAAAAAAAACCUCAGUUUAUUUCAGUGUGAACUCAUGAUGUAGUUUUACAAAAUCAGUCUUGCCAGUUGAUGUUCCUUCCCCUGAUAUUACAGAGAAGAGAUUGGCAAACUAUAGCUGGGACUACUGUAUUUUUGUAAGUAAAGUUUUAUUGGAACACAAGUAGAUCUGUUCACAUAUUGUCAGUGGCUGCUUUUGGCACUACAGCAACAAAGUUGAGUUGUGACAGAAACAAAGCCUGAAAUAUAUGAUUCUUUAAGAAAAAAUUGGCCAACUCAUGCUAUAGAAGAACCAAACUUCAAGUUGCAUUUAGAUAUAAACUUUCUACAACCACAGUUAAAUUCAAAUAGUCUUCUAAAGGGAAAGCCAAGGCCUGUGUCAUAAUGCUGAGUAGGAAGUAACAUUUGCAAUGUAUAUAGUGGUGGGAUUACUAAUACAGGUUAAUGAAGAGGAAAGCUAUGUAUGACAGUAGUCCACUUUUUAUUGUAUUAUCUCCCCGCCCCUAUCCCUCAGUAGAUGUAAACAUUCAUUCAGUGGUAGGAUAUUAUUUUUCUUUCUAGACACUCUAAAGAUUUAGAGAACAGAUAAUGAUAAAAGAUUUAACUAGGAUAUCUAGCAUAGCCAAGCAGUGAUAAGGUGCUCAGGAAAAUGUUCAAGGACCACAGAGCAGAUUAGUGGCAGAAUUCAAAGUAGAGGCUAGAUCUCCUGCCUUCUUUCCUAGAGGUCCUUCCAGUAGCUCUCAUACCAUAUUAGGGCUGCUUGUUUUCCCUGCUAGCUGUAAGGCACAGUCUAUUUUGUUUCCCUUUAUUCAUCCCUGAAGUAAAAGCAAAGACUCAGUGAUUUAAACCACAAAAAUUUGAUUUAUUGAAGAUUUGACUUUACUUGAAGCUUGGAUGCUCUUACUUUAUUGUUUAAAGAUAACUAGGGUAUUGCUUUUUAAUGAUUAAGUACUUACAGUGUAUACUCAAAAGGUUAGAAAAGUUGGAAUGAAAAAGGAAGCCUGAGCCUUGUUCAUAAUGUCAUUGCUAGGAGCAAAACCAAAAUCAGGAUAGGUAGAAUGCUUCCCCCAUAUGACUAUGUAUCUAACUCCGUAGAUGAAAAGAGUGUAUAUGUCUAUGUAUAUGUAUGCGUGUGUGGGCAUAUAACACCUCUUAAAGUGCAUUUUGAUUGCAUUCUGAGAGGAGGUUAGCAGGUCUGUUACAAUCUGCAGAUUAUGAUCAUUUCAAAUGGACCACCAACUUAUACCAUACACAAAAAUAAAUUCAAAAUGGAUUAAAGACUUAAAUGUAAGAUGUGAAACCAUAAAAAUUUUAGAAGAAACCAUAGGCAGCAAAAUCUCAGACAUCUUACUGAU